GGAUUGACACAUCGGUCGUGCCUUAAGGGGUAUGAACUGGUGUAGUCAAUUUCUCACCUUCUGGAGAACCGCGAUGUCCUUAAUUGGGUGCCGCGAGGAACCAGGACCUUUACUUUGGAAAAAAAUUAGAGUGUUUAAAGCAGGCAUUUUUGCUUGAAUACAUUAGCAUGGAAUAAUAAAAUAGGACGGCAUGAUUCUAUUUUGUUGGUUUCUAGGAUCACC
rnacentral:rRNA from 1 species